rnacentral:rRNA from 1 species
GAGGUGGAAGCGUGGCGACACGUGGAGCUGACGAAUACUAAUCGAUCGAGGACUUAACCAA